CCGCCUCAGCUUCAAAACCACUUUUUCCUGUUUUCAUGCUUGAUUUUGUGUGUCACUGACCAGUGUGGAGGGGAAGCGAAGUUCUUUCAGCUGUGCCGGAUGCGGUCUCUGUUCUUCCCUGCAACUUUCCAGCCCCCUCACCAUGGGGCCGGCUCUGCGUCAGACAAUGCCCUCCACGUUCCAGAAUUAACAGCUGCCAUAUUCAAAUCUAGGUAACAAAGACUCCAGUCCCUCCUGCUUGGAGCGACCCUGCACUCUGACACUUUGCGCCCAAACAAUGGACUCUCCCAGGAUCUCAAUAUCCUGAGAGUCUAACGAGACUGCUGCCUGACCCAUUGACUCUUCUGCCUUCUAAGGAGCCAGACAGUGGGUUGAACUCACCCAAAUGAGGUCUGAAAGGACAAGUGGAUUCUGAUUAUCGCUGUCACUCCUUUCUCUGAUUUCCAUAAAUAACGGAGUUUAGAAUACAUUUUGAGUUCAGUGUUGGGAUGGAGGAAAGAAAAAUCUACGUUGCUUCAGUGAAACUCACUGGUGGAAAAGGGCUAGGACCGAGGUUCAGCCCUUCUUCACCUCACAUCUGGAAAAAUCACAAUAAACCCAGAGCUACUUCCAAAGUCCAACUUCCACCCUACGCUUCUUCAAUCCAAUGCAUAUUGCUGUAACUAAAACAGAGAUGGGACCAUGUCACUCAAUAAUUCCCCAGCACAGCAAGAUAAAGAAGAAACCCUCCAAUUCAGCAUGCAAUGCCCUCUGUGACCCAGCCCUUGCCACCAUCAGAGCCUCCAUGCCUUCAUACGAUGCUGAACCCCUACAGAAGUACUCACAGGUCACUGAAAACACUAUCAUAUUACUUGGUUCUGCCUGAGAAAUUUUCACCUCCCAACCCACCCUUAUCUUCACAUACCAGGAAAGCUCCUAAUCAUCUCUCAAAACUCACUUCAAACGCUGUUUCUUCAUAAGGAAUUUCCUGUUUCUUAUCUAAUCUGGAAAUAGAAAUAACCACUUUUGUGCCCUAUCAUACUCCAUACCCAGUACUUACCUUAAACUUAGCAAACUUGGUCUCCUAUUAUGCUGGGCCCAGUACUCUGCAGGGUCCUACCUUGUACUUCCUCUGACUGUGACCUUCCCCUGGGGUCAAGGAAUCUAGGAGAAGUGAAGAAGGAUUCAAGCACCCAAUAUCUGUGUCUGCCCCUCCUUCUAGACCAAAAACUGGAUCCAAGAAGUGGCCUUGAGCCCUCUUCCAAGGUUUGCAAAGGCCUUUUCCCUGGCCUGACUCCCAAGCACAGACCUUGCCACCAGCAUAUUCACCCCUGGAUCACAGGGGUCACCAAGGGGCAAAUAUUGGCAGGAGAGUAUGAAUGGAGCUUGGACAUGGAAUUUGAAUUGUUCACACGCAUGCAUACAAGAUUCUACAUGGUAUAGGAUAAAACGUGAGAUGGGAAAAAAACUAGAUUGGAGGAGCCAUUUGUUCUCUUGUCUGAAAAUGUUGGGAGCAUACCUAUGUAAUUUCUGUCACAGAAUAUACAAAGAUUUAGUGUUAACCAUCUAACUUUAUAAAUAUUUCUGUAAUCUACAAGUACUAAUGUAGUCCUCUCUCAUUUACUCUCUACUCAAAAAAAAACAAAGAAUAGUUGAUUCUCCUUAUUUGUAGUAGUUAUGCUCCAUAAAGCUGCCAUGAACACUGAAUUAGCAAAUACUGAACCAUUGCUCCUAUGGGAAAUACAGGGUUAGGUUCCUGUGAGCCCCUGGUCACAAUACUUUCAUCAGUCAAUCAGUGCAUUACCUUGUGUGUGUUCCUCUCUAAAGACACCUUAUUUAAUAUAUACUGGUGAUUCAUUAAUAUCAAACCCACAGUGAACAACACUAUAAUUCAUCCUUGAUGAAGUUUAUCCAACACACGCAUUUUCUCUGUAAGCACAUUUUAGCCUUCUUAUGCUAAGGAACACAGAUAGUACUUCAGUGCUACACUUGGGAGCCAUUUAAACAGUGAAAUCACCAACAAAAAGCACAAAAAUGUCAAAAACAUGGCACUAAAUAGAUCAUAAAAAGGACAUUCAUUUGCAGCAUGAGAGCUGAUACAAAAGGGCAGAACUUGGCCUUAUUCUACUUUAGUAGGGAAUAUGCAGAUUAGGCAAUUCACAUUUUUGAUCACUCUGCAAUGUUUACAAAUGACUGCAAAAGUGCUUUAUCAGUUUGGCGGGGUGUGGUACAAAUGCAUUUUAGCAAGUAAGUAAAUUCACAAAUACAGACUCUGCAAAUAAUGAGGAUUGACUGUAGGUAGAAUUUCGGGAUCUCCCUCCUGAGGAUUCACCCCAGUGUGGUCCAAGAUCCCUAGGGAUUUUUGGAGUCUGGAAGGGGAAGUCAGUCCUGUUUCAAUACCCCAAAAGAAGAGGGUGGUUCAUUGGCUCAGACAUUCUACGUGGAUUUACUGAGUGCCUCUUAUGAAUCAGACCCCGUGCAAAGUCCUGGGGACUAAGAGUCACCAGUUUGUUCUCAGGGAAGGCUUAGAUGAGCCAAGGAGACCACUUCAAGAGUAACACUAGUAAAUAUGUAAUGAUGUCACCAACACUGGGAGUAGCCUGCACAAAAACCUCUUCUCUCUUCUUCCUUGGUAGCAGAGUCUUCGUUCUAUUUAGGUAUUUUGCCUCCAUGUGACUCAGGGAGGGGAUCCUAUGGUGAGCCCAAGUGUAAGUCUACAAUGGUUUAUGUCAACAGGUAUGACCCCAUUCCUCUUGCAGUGAUUACCAUGUAUACACCUACAGCUUCAGGAGAUAGGCACAUAAGACUGUCAGGGUCACAUCUAUGAAACCGUGUCCUGCUCUUACACAGAGACAUGUAGCAAGAGCUAGACACUCUUCUUGCACUGUGGAGGUCCCAUGGCAGGCAUCUGGGAGCCAUCAGGAAAGCUAAAUGACAUACUGAAGAAGGUAGGCUAGGGCUGACACCAUCGCUGAGGUGAAUGAAGUAAUCUUCAAGGCUCCCCACCCUGGCACGCGCACACAUACUCGUUAUAGAAGAUAAUAAAUUGGCCUCAUCGUUUAUGCCAAGAGCAGCUGCUCUACCUAACUCGAAGUGACACCAUCCACAUCUGAGUCUACUGUGUGAACUUACGGUCCUGGAGCUGUGCCACAUAAACCCCUAUAUAAAUCACUCGAGAAGGGAGCGCAGAGUGGGGAUCAGAGUAGUCUUCUCUGAGGAAGCAAAGGUUCAACAAACAUCCAGGGAUAAGAAGGUAUCAAGAUGAGAGAGAGCAUGGUAGACCAUAUCCAGUCUUACUGAACCUUGAUUAAGCCCAGAAACAUACAACUGGUGGAAUCAGGAAUUCCUCUUAUGAGGAAUUCUCAUGUUUGUUGCCCUCUCCUACACCUAGCCUUAAAGAGGCAGUGGGCCUUAUUCUGUCAUUCAACUCCCUGGCCCUGGGUUUCCCUCCUGCACAAGAGAAAGAGACA